UUUCAAGAUGCCGCGGUGCUAAAAUUUAGAAACCGUGGCACUAAAGCCGCAGCUAAAUAUCUGUCGUGGCACCUGGAAUUUAGAGGCCACAGCGCAAAGCUUAAAAACCAUGAAAGAAGUUUUGCUAAACACCAAGAAGUAAACAAGAAAGAAACUUUUACACCAAAUUGAAACACCGUAUUAUAGUGUGAACAUUUUACGAAACCAGAUUGGAUUUGAGGCAGAUUUCUAAUGGUAUUUCAGCAAGUGCAUCAAUGUUCGUGAAAACUCCUUCAAACAUGUUGUCACAAUAGAACAAUGGAAAUGUCCUGUUUGUCUUUUUCGUACUGAGUGUGAAAAUAAUCAAUCAACGUCAAGUCAAAGUUAUAAUAAAAAUGUUUGGUUGCCUCUAUGAGUCACAUCUCAUACACUGGUGCUAUUAAUAACUGUCUGUUAUUAAAUUUUAAAGGAAAAUAGUACAUUAAUAUAAAUGCUUGAUGUCAUCCAGUGGCACCACCAAGGUUUUAAACAACGAAACAGCUGCUGAAAAAUAUAUUUGAUACUAAUGUUUUCUCUUUACCCGCUGUAUUUUUUCUUUUAAAAAUAUUUGUUGUUUCUGUUAAAAAACAAAACGGUAUUUGCAAUUGUAAACGUUAUAGAGUCUAAAUUUUAUAAUCAUUUUGAAUAUAGCAGGGUGGGGCAAGAUGGGACACUCUUGUUUUGUUUAGUGGUGAAACAAAUAACAUUAAAAGAAUAUAAAAAUCGUAUUCUUACUACUCCCAUAGACCGUUGUUAAUUAAUAAAACACCAUUAAGAUAUUUGGACAAUAUAUGCUCAAGGUGUCCCAUUUCCCCCAUUCCACUAUAAUCAAUUUUCUGUUAU